UCAGGCCUAACACAUGCAAGUCGAGGGGUAACAGGGGGUGCUUGCACUCCGCUGACGACCGGCGCACGGGUGCGUAACGCGUAUGCAACCUACCUUUUACAGGGGGAUAGUCAAGAGAAAUUUUGAAUAAUACCCCAUACGAUCCUAAGUACACCUGUACUUAGGAGGAAAGUUUCGGCGGUAAAAGAUGGGCAUGCGUCCUAUUAGUUAGUUGGUGAGGUAACGGCUCACCAAGGCGACGAUAGGUAGGGGUCCUGAGAGGGAGAUCCCCCACACUGGUACUGAGACACGGACCAGACUCCUACGGGAGGCAGCAGUGAGGAAUAUUGGACAAUGGAGGCAACUCUGAUCCAGCCAUGCCGCGUGCAGGAAGACGGCCCUAUGGGUUGUAAACUGCUUUUAUACAGGAAGAAACGUAGGUACGUGUACCUGUUUGACGGUACUGUAUGAAUAAGGAUCGGCUAACUCCGUGCCAGCAGCCGCGGUAAUACGGAGGAUCCAAGCGUUAUCCGGAAUCAUUGGGUUUAAAGGGUCCGCAGGCGGUUUGUUAAGUCAGAGGUGAAAUCCUACCGCUCAACGGUAGAACGGCCUUUGAUACUGACAGGCUUGAGUUAUUGUGAAGUAGUUAGAAUGUGUAGUGUAGCGGUGAAAUGCAUAGAUAUUACACAGAAUACCGAUUGCGAAGGCAGAUUACUAACAA
rnacentral:rRNA from 1 species